GGGAAUACGCAGGAAGCGGAGGGGACGAGUAAAUAAGUUUGAGUCGGGAGCAUAAUAAUACGACGCUGCUAAAACCUUCCAGACAAGACAUUUGAGUAAGUGUGCAAAACGCUGCACGGCAACCGAAGCGGCCGAGAGGCGAGUGACUAUAAGAAGCAUCUUUUCAGCUCUGGUCGUGCUUGUCUGUUGGAGGAGAGAGAAGUGUCAUGAGGACUUCCCUGCAUCUAGCGUUGUUGCUGGCCGUAGGCCUCUUGCUCUCGGCCCUCCUCUCGCCGAGCCAAUGUUGUGGUCCUAUCUGUAAAAUGCCGUGCCAUGUUACAUUCGCCUAUACAAAUGGAUCAAGAAGAUCAGGUGGAUUAAGUGGAGCAGGUGGAUCAAGUUGGCCAAGUGGAUCAUUAGGAUCGUCUGGUUUGGCUGCUUUUGGCUCUUCUGGUUAAUAUUUUGCAUAAAUAGCGCCGAGAGCGACGAUCAUCGCCAGCCAACUCCGCGGCACAGAUCCGAGAAAAUUUGCCCCACAUGGAACGCCUUCUGCAACCCUCCGCAAGACUGCAACAGAGCUAGAAGGAAGACUCUUCCCCGGGAAUCAGUUCGGACGCAACGCUUCGAGUGACCUGAUUCCGUGGUUGUAGCAGAUUCUGCAAUGCUAACUAACAAUAGUGCUUAAUAGGUGAGGUGUUGGUCCUUCAUAAACGUAAGGCAAAAUAUCAGAAUGACAUCCUCAAUAAAUGUGAUGCGUGAUGAAUGGCUUCCUAAACAUGUUUCUAAAAAAAGUAUGAAGGCAUUUUCACGAUAUUGAGAAAGAGAACAGAAUGUCAUGCUCUGCUCAAUUCGGCUUUGUCGAAAAUCUUUCCUCGAUUAUAGAAAAGAUUUGUAAAAGUGAAGCAAAACUAAUCGUUGUGAUGUAUAAUGAUAUUUUCAAUUGUAAUUUAUUGUUAUUGCCAUCUCAUAGUUACAAAUAAAUAAAGCAUAAAACA
rnacentral:lncRNA from 1 species